UACGAAGGGGGCUAGCGUUGUUCGGAAUCACUGGGCGUAAAGCGCACGUAGGCGGAUUGUUAAGUCGGGGGUGAAAUCCUGAGGCUCAACCUCAGAACUGCCUUCGAUACUGGCAAUCUCGAGUCCGGAAGAGGUUGGUGGAACAGCUAGUGUAGAGGUGAAAUUCGCAGAUAUCAGGAAGAACACCCGUGGCUAAGGCGGCUCUCUAGUACGGUACUGACGCUGAGACGCGAAAGCGUGGGGAGCGAACAGG
rnacentral:rRNA from 1 species